rnacentral:misc_RNA from 1 species
GAAAAGUCAGUUAAAGCUUCGGGGAAAGGUGUCAAAAACUCACAAAAUCAAAAAAAUAAAACACAGAAUAUGAAAAAGGCAGCUCCAAAAGUGGAAGAAAACAUUGAUGAGAUCUUCCAAAAGCUGGAAGAUAAAGCUCCGGAUGACAGGAAGAAAGUGGAGGAAAAUGUGAAGAGAGACACUGAAAAUAAGAAGAAAAAGAAAAGGCGUAGGGGGAAAAAGAAGAUGGAAGACCAGGAUAAUGAAGCAGAGAAUGCAGAGGACAUGAAUGAUGCUCCUUUAAUCAGUGAAGGAUUGAAAAGGAAGAAAACCCUUGACGAUUUGGAGGAAGAUGAAGAAGAAGAAGAGUCUAUUUCUGGCAGAUCUUCCAUGAUGGCAAAGAGAGAGACUGAAAUAACAAACAAUGGUUCAUUUACUGAGGACAGUCCAAAUCCCAAAGAAGAAGUGUUUGUGGACCCCAAAAAACUCUUCACUCUGGAGACAAAGAUAUCGGACAUUGCUAACCCUGAGGUCACAGGCAGAGAUGGGGAGGAGGAGGAGUCUGACGGAGAAGAGGCCCAGCGCUCUAUCAUCGCUCAGGCCUUCGCUGACGAUGAUGUCAUCGACGAAUUUGUGAAGGAGAAGAAUGCAAUCGUGGAUAGGGACAAGCCGACAGACAUUGACCUUUUUCUGCCAGGCUGGGGGGCGUGGGGAGGGGAGAGUGUGAAGGUGUCCAAGAAGAAACGCAAGAAGUUCAUUAUUAAAGCCCCGGAGGGUCCCCCGCGCAAGGACAAACGCCUUGGUAACGUGAUCAUCAGUGAGAAAAAGGACAAGGCCAUCAGUAAACAUCAGGUUAGUCUCUACAGGUCAAUGAUCUCCCUUUUCCGUACGUGACGGUGGAGCAGUACGAGCAGGCUAUCCGCGCUCCGAUCGGAAAGACCUGGAACCCAGAGACAGCUGUGAAGGAACUGGUCAAACCAAAAAUCAUCACCAAGCUCGGAGGAAUCAUCCAACCAAUCAGCAAGGCUGACGUGUUUAAAAAAGACAGUAAAAAGCGCAAACCUGACAUGGGUUUUCAAAAUAAAUCUGCUGAUACAAAGCAUAAGAAGCGGAAGCACUGAUAGGAUAGUUUUAUGUCUUGUCAGUGUCUUGAAAUUGAUGUUUUUUGACAGCUUUGUUUAUACAAUGUAUAAAAUAGUAAUGAAGAUUAAAAUGACAGACCACUUAUAUAAUUAGUUAGUUUGAUCCAUUUUGUAUAUUAAUUGUUCUUUGUUUUUGUUUAAUAUUAUUGAUGUCCAGAUAAGUUUGAUUUACAGGAUCAAUAUAUCAAAAUAUUUACAUCUAC